GCCUGGGUGGCUCAGUGGUUGAGCGUCUGCCUUCAGCUCAGGGCAUAAUCCCAGGUUCCGGGGUCCAGGGAUCAAGUCCCUCAUCAGGCU
rnacentral:tRNA from 1 species